rnacentral:lncRNA from 1 species
AGAAUCUCUUAUGAUAAAUCUACAGUAAUUAUGGACUCCAAGAAAUAACAGAUGACUUGCUACCUACCCUUUGGAAAGACUAUGAAAGACUAUGAAACACACAUGUUUUCAAAAGAUAAAAAAAAGAAAAGAAAAAUGAGCUCAUAACUUUAGGAAUUUUCUUCAUAUUAUUGAAAGUGACAUUUGAGAUGAGGCACUCAGUGCCAAAAGGUUUUGAGUAUUACACAAUCAUCUUAAUCUCAGAUUUUGAUCCUCACAGCUUUGACAUGGAAUAGUCCAACGCAUCCACAAGAAAAUCUGCAAGUAGCCCAUUAGUUAAUAUGCUAUAGAAGAUGUCAUAAACAAAUGAGUGGCGCCUUAGCAAGUUUCAGCAUACGUUUGCAUGAGUAUGCCAGUUCUUUCA